AGCGGAGGUAGGCUGUCCCCGAGACGCUUUCUGGCUUUUUCUCUGCGCAUUCUACCUCUAUCGCCCUCACUCCCCGACACACAAGUAUAGGAAUCUGUUUAAAAAGAGAUUUAUUGUGUCUCUUGCCACCUCGUUGAUACCUUUUUCGUGCUGGCUAAGCAAAAAGGAGUCAGUGAAAAGAGAAUUGGACCACAGUGAGUUGGGAAUUAUUUUCGAGCUGCAUUUAGAUUUAGGCAUCUGAUAAAAUUUGCCUAUUUCCAGAUUUUGAAGUUUUUUUUUCAACUUAAAAAACCUCCUCACCGUUUCUUUUACUCUUAGUUUUUUUUUUUUUAAGUGUUCUCUUUGCAAACUAAUGUUGUUGAAGAGUUUCGUCACUAACCUACUAGUAGCAUGUUUUUCUCUGAUGUUCCUAUCAGAACUGAGGAUGGAGAGGGGUCCCCUCUUCUGCUGUGGAAACAGAAUGACAGUAUUUUGAUUAUGAUGUGAGAGAAGUUUUAAAGAAAAGUUUCUUCAAAAAUUUCCUUAAAGCUGUAGAAAAAGCUACAACAAAUAGAACUAUUAAUAUCAUUGGAUUCGGUAAAUUGCAGGCUAAGACCCCGAGGUAAUGAGCAAAUGCUAGAGCUGGCACAGACCUAAUCUAAAGAUCACCAAGGAUGUCUUAAGCAGUUUUCUUCAAUCUGCUGUCCUCUGGAUCCGCUUGCCUCAGGAGUUAGGAAUCUUGGCUGAUUUGCUUCUUAGCUAUCAAAAUGUGCCUUUUUUGUAUUUCUAUUUAGAGCCUGUUAUCUGUUAAAUGAAAAAUCUAAUAAAGACAUCCUUCCCCGUUUACUAGAAGGCACUUAGCAUGGUAUCCUUCUCAGGCAGCCCAUCCAUUCAUGCUGAUGAUGGGCAUUUCAAGUUGUGUCAUAGGUUACUAUCAAAAAACACUUUGGGGCUCAUGGAAUCUUAACUGGUAGCUCGGUCAAGUGUUUCUCAGAAUAAGAAAAAGAAAGUUAUCAAUACAUAAAUUUUGGACAAAGAUCGGUUAUUAAGAAUUGGUAAAAUUCAAUCCUGGUUUUAGUCAAAAUUUGUCUAGGGACUUCCUUGGCUGUCCAGUGGUUAAGACUCACAGCUUCCAGUCUUCCUGCAGGAGCAGGGGUUGAUCCCUAGUGGGGGAACUAGGAUUUCACGUGCCAUGUGGCCCAGCCAGGAAGAAAAAAAAGUCUAAAUUUGUCUAUAUAAAACUAAAUAACCUAUUCAGCUAAUUAUUAAAUGUCAUGUAAAAACAUAAGUCACUAAUCUUAAACUUUUUAGUUUCAGGACCCCUUUACACUCUUAAAAAUUAUUGAGAACUCCAACAACUUUUAUGUGUUAUAACUAUCAAUACUUGUCAUGUUUUAGAAAUUAAAACUUGAAAAUUUUAAUUUUUUUAGUCAUUGAAAAGAGCACAUUGUA